UGGGGAAUUUUCCGCAAUGGGCGAAAGCCUGACGGAGUGACGCCGCGUGUGGGACGAAGGCCUUCGGGUCGUAAACCACUGUCAGUGGGAAAGAUGGGUGUCGGCGUGAACAGCGCCGAUGCUUGACGGUACCUGCAGAGGAAGCCCCGGCCAACUCUGUGCCAGCAGCCGCGGUAAGACAGAGGGGGCAAGCGUUGCUCGGAAUUACUGGGCGUAAAGGGCGCGUAGGCGGAAUGGCAAGUCGGUCGUGAAAUCCUUCGGCUCAACCGAAGAACGUCGAUCGAAACUGCCGUUCUUGAGGAUUGCAGAGGAGACUGGAAUUCCCGGUGUAGCGGUGAAAUGUGUAGAGAUCGGGAGGAACACCGGUGGCGAAGGCGGGUCUCUGGGCAAUUCCUGACGCUGAGGCGCGAAAGCGUGGGGAGCAAACGG
rnacentral:rRNA from 1 species